rnacentral:rRNA from 1 species
UACGUAGGGGGCUAGCGUUGUCCGGAAUCAUUGGGCGUAAAGAGCGUGUAGGCGGUCCGGUAAGUCCGCUGUGAAAGUCGGGGGCUCAACCCUCGAAUGCCGGUGGAUACUGUCGGGCUAGAGUGCGGAAGAGGCGAGUGGAAUUCCUGGUGUAGCGGUGAAAUGCGCAGAUAUCAGGAGGAACACCGGAGGCGAAGGCGGCUUGCUGGGCAUGGUCUGACGCUGGAGGCGCGAAAGCGUGGGUAGCAAACAGG